UGAGGAAUAUUGGUCAAUGGACGAGAGUCUGAACCAGCCAAGUAGCGUGAAGGAUGACUGCCCUAUGGGUUGUAAACUUCUUUUAUAUGGGAAUAAAGUGAGCCACGUGUGGCUUUUUGUAUGUACCAUACGAAUAAGGAUCGGCUAACUCCGUGCCAGCAGCCGCGGUAAUACGGAGGAUCCGAGCGUUAUCCGGAUUUAUUGGGUUUAAAGGGAGCGUAGGCGGACUAUUAAGUCAGCUGUGAAAGUUUGCGGCUCAACCGUAAAAUUGCAGUUGAUACUGGUCGUCUUGAGUGCAGUAGAGGUAGGCGGAAUUCGUGGUGUAGCGGUGAAAUGCUUAGAUAUCACGAAGAACUCCGAUUGCGAAGGCAGCUUACUGGACUGUAACUGACGCUGAUGCUCGAAAGUGUGGGUAUCAAACA
rnacentral:rRNA from 1 species